rnacentral:rRNA from 1 species
AUAUUGCGCAAUGGAGGAAACUCUGACGCAGCAACGCCGCGUGAAGGAUGAAGGCUUNNNGGUUGNACACUUCUUUGAUCGGGNACGNAAAUGACGGUACCCGAGGAACAAGCAACGGCUGACUACGUGCCAGCCGCCGCGGUAAUACGUAGGUGGCAAGCGUUGUCCGGAAUUACUGGGUGUAAAGGGCGUGUAGGCGGGGGGACAAGUCAGAUGUGAAAUCCCAGGGCUUAACUCUGGAGCUGCAUCUGAAACUGUUCCUCUUGAGUAUCGGAGAGGAAAGUGGAAUUCCAAGUGUAGCGGUGAAAUGCGUAGAGAUUUGGAGGAACACCGAUGGCGAAGGCAGCCCCCUGGGAUAAUACUGACGCUCAGACACGAAAGCGUGGGGAGCAAACAGG